CGGUAAAACUGUUGAACCACUGAGUGAUGUUAAUCGCAGCUAGGCGUUGCCGCGGAGCCGCGCGCGAUGCCUAUUUCGGUGAAGCCCCUAAACCGCGGACGCAUGUGCAACCCGAAUCCGAGUUUGACAGGACCGAGAGAGGAUGAUCGUGCAAGUGAUGUGGUGCCACCCACAAGAUGCAGUCGGUGGACGAUCCAAGGAAGGAUGGACAUAACCAGUGGAUGCUCGCCAAGCGAGUACCUCCCCCAGCAAACACUAUCUGAGUGUUAAAUUAAAGGUACUCCUUAGGAUGAUUGGUUGAUGGUGUGACUUGGCCUUCAUCCCUGCCACCGGGAUAGAUGGUCGAGUGGGUUAUUGCUUCCGCAGGAGAGGACCAGGAGGAGUAGCGUGGCCAGGCUUUGCCAUACUCGGUUUUCUCCGUUAGUUAUUUCCGCUGCAUUAAAUUUAUGGUUAUUAUUUCUGAAACUCCGAUAAUGUAAUCACUAAUGAUACUUAUUAAAUUUGUGGUAUUAUGUUU
rnacentral:lncRNA from 7 species